UACGUAGGGGGCGAGCGUUGUCCGGAGUUACUGGGCGUAAAGCGCUUGUAGGCGGUCCACCAAGUUUGGGGUGACAGUUGUCGACUUAAUCGGCAAAGUGCCUCAAAGACUGGCGGACUUGAGGGCCACAGAGGGACAUGGAACUCCAGGUGUAGUGGUGAAAUGCGUAGAUAUCUGGAGGAACACCGGUGGCGAAGGCGGCGACCUGGUCCUAUACUGACACUCAUACACGAAAGCGUGGGGAUCAAACAGG
rnacentral:rRNA from 1 species